AGGAAACCAAACAAACAAAAAUAAUAUAUACAUAUAUAUAUAUAUUUACAUAAUACUUAUGAUCAUCAUAAAUUAUUAUAUAAAUAUAAUAAAAUAACUUUAUAUAUUUUUAUUAUCAAUAUAUAUUGAUUGGUUAAUACGUUCCAAUGAAUGCGUAUAAUCAAUUAAGAAGAAAUAAGAAUUUCUAUUUCUUCUCUUAUCGUUUUUUUUUUUUUUUUUUUUUUCUAUUUAUUUUUUCUUCUUUUCUUUUUUUCUUUUUUUCCUUUUUUUUUUUUUUGUUCUUUUUGUUCUUGUUUCUUUUUAACAGUUCAAGAUUAUUCAAGAUGAACGAGAAAGUUACUUCAACGCGAAGAUGCAUAAAUAGAUCUCUCUUCGCGGAAGAAACGUCGAUUGUCUUCUAUGACUGCGAAUGAAUAAAAAAAAAAUAAAAAAAUUCAUUACACAUACAGAAAACGGAAGUGCGAGAAGAGAAAUCGACCGUGAAGAACUUAACCGAUGAAAUUUCAAAAGUUCCAAUAAAAAUUCAACGCUGUGAACAGAAGAAACAUGAACAGACAAAGGACCCAUACACAAAUACACACUCACACACAUACACACACACAUUCUCUCUUUCUCAUUCUUUCUCUUUCUUUGUCUCUCACUCUCUCUCUCCCUCUCUCUCUAUCUCUCUCUUCUCUACAACGACCGAGUGCUGCGGAAUGGAUUCGCAAUGUAUGCAUAUUUUCCGUGUCUUAUGCGAAAGAUAACAAGUCUUUGCUGUAGUAAUCUAACAAUCAACGUAACAAUCUCUUUGCAUAUAUAAAAAUGAAUGAAAAUAAAUAAUAUAAAAAAGAAAGAAAGAAAAAGAAAAAAAAUGAACAAAAUAAGCUUCAAUAAGAUUGAUCGGGGAUUAAA